GAAAAAUAUUAGAUAAAGACUGUAAACGAAAAAGAAAAAGAAAACACAUACACACACAUACACAUGCGCAUACAUACGUUUUUUUGAAUGGUGUAGGUUUGACAAGAAAAAGCAGUAUAUUUCAACAACUACAGCGAACUUGGCGAAAUACGCUUAUACAGUGUGAAGAGGCAUCUUAUACACAAGUAGGACGUAGAAAUGUAAACAUGGACAACCAGAGACUCGGGCUCUUUCAAAGACAGAAUAUCGGCAUGUGUUUAUCAAGAGUUCGAUCUGUGCUGAUUAUCAAACAAAUGUGGAAAGCUUAAUAUUCAGAACAUGAGGGAAACGGGGAAGAAGGAGAUUGUGCUUUCUCAUAUUCCCCUAUUCCACGUUUCGGUCUUUCUUCCUUCAUUGGCCACCGAAUAAAGUUGUUAUCUCACUACUUA